rnacentral:lncRNA from 1 species
AAAGGAAUGGGGCCUCUCUGCUGGGUGGGGUCAGGUUAGCACACAACGAGUGAUGACGGCGUGCCUUCGUUCUGACCUGAUGGGAUGCCAGGAGGGCCACUCCCAUCCUGGGCAGGUGAGUGUCCUCCGUGGGCUGCUCUCUCCACCCAACACGUGAACUGUCCAACUAUCCAGCCAUCUUCAACCUUCCGCAUACUUCACCCCACCCAUCUGUCCACCACUCCUCCAAGUCUCCUGACCCCCGAACCCCCUUGGUCCACUCUUGUGGUAUCUGCUUGACCUCCCCAUGCUCAUCCCUCCUGAAGUCACAUCCCUCUCUGAGCCAUCCAGGACUGGGCGCGCGUGGGUGUGCGGAUGAGCAGAACACGAGGCAUUUCCACGGGGGGCCGAGUGGAAGGACAAGCAGAGACCAUACUCCUGGGGAUCACGCGAGGGCAGGCACAAGGUGGGGCGGUGGGUGGGACCCAGCUUUCCUAGAAAC